UACGAAGGGGGCUAGCGUUGUUCGGAAUUACUGGGCGUAAAGCGCGCGCAGGCGGCCUUUCAAGUCAGUGGUGAAAGCCCGGAGCUCAACUCCGGAACUGCCAUUGAAACUGUUUGGCUUGAGUACGAGAGAGGUGAGUGGAAUUCCCAGUGUAGAGGUGAAAUUCGUAGAUAUUGGGAAGAACACCGGUGGCGAAGGCGGCUCACUGGCCCGAUACUGACGCUGAGGCACGAAAGCGUGGGGAGCGAACAGG
rnacentral:rRNA from 1 species